rnacentral:rRNA from 1 species
AUUGAACGCUGGCGGCAGGCCUAACACAUGCAAGUCGAGCGGAUGAAGGGAGCUUGCUCCUGGCUUCAGCGGCGGACGGGUGAGUAAUGCCUAGGAAUCUGCCUGGUAGUGGGGGAUAACGUCCGGAAACGGGCGCUAAUACCGCAUACGUUCUGAGGGAGAAAGUGGGGGAUCUUCGGACCUCACGCUAUCAGAUGAGCCUAGGUCGGAUUAGCUAGUUGGUGGGGUAAAGGCCUACCAAGGCGACGAUCCGUAACUGGUCUGAGAGGAUGAUCAGUCACACUGGAACUGAGACACGGUCCAGACUCCUACGGGAGGCAGCAGUGGGGAAUAUUGGACAAUGGGCGAAAGCCUGAUCCAGCCAUGCCGCGUGUGUGAAGAAGGUCUUCGGAUUGUAAAGCACUUUAAGUUGGGAGGAAGGGCAGUAAGUUAAUACCUUGCUGUUUUGACGUUACCAACAGAAUAAGCACCGGCUAACUUCGUG